rnacentral:rRNA from 1 species
UACGUAGGUGGCAAGCGUUGUCCGGAUUUACUGGGCGUAAAGAGCGCGCAGGCGGUCGUCCAAGUCGCGUGUGAAAGCCCCCGGCUCAACUGGGGAGGGUCACGCGAUACUGGUCGACUCGAAGGCAGGAGAGGGUAGUGGAAUUCCCGGUGUAGUGGUGAAAUGCGUAGAUAUCGGGAAGAACACCGGUGGCGAAAGCGGCUUCCUGGACCAGCACCGACGUUCAGGCACGAAAGCGUGGGGAGCAAACAGG